GCCUGGGUGGCUCAGUCGGUUGAGCGUCUGACUUCGGCUCAGGUCAUGAUCUCGCGGUCCGUGAGUUCGAGCCCCGCGUCGGGCU
rnacentral:tRNA from 1 species